GACAGAGGUCCCGAGCGUUGGGCGGAAUCACUGGGCUUAAAGCGUGUGUAGGCGGAUGCCUAAGUACCUUGUGAAAUCCCACGGCUCACCCGUGGAACUGCUUGGUAUACUGGGUGUCUUGAGCCACUUAGGGGCUACCGGAACAAAUGGUGGAGCGGUGAAAUGCGUAGAUAUCAGGAGGAACACCGGUGGCGAAGGCGGGUCUCUGGGCCGAUACUGACGCUGAGGAGCGAAAGCGUGGGGAGCGAACAGG
rnacentral:rRNA from 1 species